rnacentral:rRNA from 1 species
ACGGGUGAGUAAUGUCUGGGAAACUGCCUGAUGGAGGGGGAUAACUACUGGAAACGGUAGCUAAUACCGCAUAACGUCGCAAGACCAAAGAGGGGGACCUUCGGGCCUCUUGCCAUCAGAUGUGCCCAGAUGGGAUUAGCUAGUAGGUGGGGUAAUGGCUCACCUAGGCGACGAUCCCUAGCUGGUCUGAGAGGAUGACCAGCCACACUGGAACUGAGACACGGUCCAGACUCCUACGGGAGGCAGCAGUGGGGAAUAUUGCACAAUGGGCGCAAGCCUGAUGCAGCCAUGCCGCGUGUAUGAAGAAGGCCUUCGGGUUGUAAAGUACUUUCAGCGGGGAGGAAGGUGUUGUGGUUAAUAACCGCAGCAAUUGACGUUACCCGCAGAAGAAGCACCGGCUAACUCCGUGCCAGCAGCCGCGGUAAUACGGAGGGUGCAAGCGUUAAUCGGAAUUACUGGGCGUAAAGCGCACGCAGGCGGUCUGUCAAGUCGGAUGUGAAAUCCCCGGGCUCAACCUGGGAACUGCAUUCGAAACUGGCAGGCUAGAGUCUUGUAGAGGGGGGUAGAAUUCCAGGUGUA